rnacentral:lncRNA from 1 species
GGAAAAAUUUGAAAGUCUUGGUUUUUUAGACUUAGGGGCUGCAAUGCACUCCUUAAAUCCCCAAAUGACGACUAAUGUCAAAAUAUAGGUGCAAGAAAUAUUUCAAUUUAGUUGCUUUUAAAGCAAGCUAUGUUUGUUGGUGAGACUGGACUAUGUUGGUGCUUGGUACCAAGAUUUGGAAAUUUUUUAAAGUCUUGGUUUUUUAGAGUUAGGGGUUGCAAUGCACUCUUUAAAUCCGC